UACGUAGGGUGCGAGCGUUGUCCGGAAUUAUUGGGCGUAGAGAGCUCGUAGGCGGUGUGUCACGUCGGCCGUGAAAACCUGCAGCUUAACUGUGGGCGUGCGGUCGAUACGGGCAUCACUGGAGUUCGGCAGGGGAGACUGGAAUUCCUGGUGUAGCGGUGAAAUGCGCAGAUAUCAGGAGGAACACCGGUGGCGAAGGCGGGUCUCUGGGCCGAUACUGACGCUGGAGGAGCGAAAGCGUGGGGAGCAAACAGG
rnacentral:rRNA from 1 species